AUUGAACGCUGGCGGCAGGCCUAACACAUGCAAGUCGAACGAGUGGCGAACGGGUGAGUAAUAUCUCGGAACGUACCGAGUAAUGGGGGAUAACCAAUCGAAAGAUUGGCUAAUACCGCAUAUUAUUCCACCGGCCGAUAACCGAUUAGUUAGUUGGGGGGGUAAAGGCGUACCAAGGCGACGAUCAGUAGCGGGUCUGAGAGGACGAGCCGCCACACUGGGACUGAGACACGGCCCAGACUCCUACGGGAGGCAGCAGUGGGGAAUUUUGGACAAUGGGCGCAACCCUGAUCCAGCCAUGCCGCGUGUAUGAAGAAGGCCUUCGGGUUGUAAAGUACUUUUGUUAGGGAAGCGGUACCUAAAGAAUAAGCACCGGCUAACUACGUGCCAGCAGCCGCGGUAAUUC
rnacentral:rRNA from 1 species